UCGGAAAUGUAAAACCUGUUCUAUUCUAAACUAAUCCUAAACUAUGCACUACCCGAUGCCUCGGGCCUUCAUCACGAACGUCCUCCAAGUACAAGGUACUUCAGGGCAUUCCCUGGAUAAAUCAAUACAAAUCCCUCGAGGCAUUCCCUGGCCAAAUGAAUACAUUUUUAGUGCGAGAAAAUCAUACUAUUCAACAAAAUUUCAAGCAUUCCACGGAAUUUUCAACAUUCAACCAAAGCCACAAAUUCUAAACUUGCCUACCCAACCUAUGUUUGCCUACACCAAUCGACGUAUCAUGAUACUAUCAAGCUCAAUUAACGUUCAUUUCAAGUCAAACAACCAAUGAAUCAAAUUAACCAAAAUUCACCAAUUAUAUCAAGUUUUCAAUUCUCACCCCCAAAUUAAUUCUCAAAAUUCCAACAAUUCACGACCACUACUUUAACAAUCCACAAUCAUUAUCAACAAAACCAAACAAAUAAAUCGAUAUCACCCCAGUAUUUAUAUCAUGCUUCACACAAACCAAUCACGCAUAUAUAAUGAAAUCAAAAUGAGAACGAGAUAGAAUUGGACCUCAAAUCGAGCUAUAUUGUGCAAAUUAUGCAAUUGGGUGAUAGAACCGAACCCGAAAACCUCGAUCGACUAACCUGCCUCAACUCGAACCUCGAACCAACUAGACGCAUAAAUCUCUUGAAAUCUAAUUCGAAAGGAGACCCUCGAUAACCCGAAAGAAAAACAGAAUAGUGGUGUCGUUUGGUGCGAGUUCGGAUUGGAUUUGCUGCUGGUUGUGUCGUUUCCCGAUGGGUUAUGACGGAAUAACGGCUAAACUCGUCGGAGAAACACCCCUCUCUUCGAUUCUUCUCUCUCUCUUCUCUUCUCUCUCUAUCCAAUCAAUUUCAGCUUACCACUGCCCUUCUUUCUCUCUCUCCGAUCUCACGAUCUCUCCCUCGCUCGAAUUUUUUUUCUCUAUCUCCCCCUUCUCUCGAUUUGUCCCUCUCACUAGUGUCACUGCGUGCGUGAAUGAUGGUGAAAAAGAAAGAAAACCAGUUUCUUUUUUUUUUUCUAAAUCUGUCUCUCCUCUCUGUUUCUACGUGUGUGCGAUCGAGUGUGUAGGUGUUUGUGCGUGUUACGAGAAAGAAGCUAAGAAGAUAAAAGAAUGAAGUCUCUUGAUAUAGGACAUCCUAUCUACCCAAUUUAUGAGGGAAUCAAUUCAAGGGUAUCUCAACGGAUUGGAAAGAGAAGGACUAUACCGAGUUGGAGAGUCGAGUGAGGUUCCAUCGAGGUUCCGAUCCGCGUCUCUGUCAUUACAUCAAAAAUAAAAAUUACAAUUCAAAACAUAAAUGAAAUUAUAAAAAAUUAUAUCUAUGCAGUUGCUUUUGGACUCCUGACUUCAGUUUCAUCACCCUAUUUUUAGGCGGGCUCCUAACUUGCAAUUUCUUUCAACUUGUUGCUUGGUUUUCCAUUGCUUCACUUUAUUGCUCGACUUUCAUUUAUUCGCCCUGCUCUUCAGGUGGGCUUCUGACUUGCCACUUUUGUCCUUCAUUUUCAUCACUCUGUUCUCCAGGCGAGUUCCUGACUUGCAGUUUCUUUAAUUUUCCGUUUCAUCACCCUGUUCUUCAAGUGGGCUCCUGACUUACAGAUUCAUCACCUUGUUCUUGAGGCGGGCUCUUGAAAUUAAAAUAAAAACUAGAAAAAAUUAUCCCCAACAAAGAUUAAGAUAAAGAGAGACUUUAUUUUUCUGAAAGUAAUGUUCCAUUUUUCAGGAGGGUCCUGAAUAUAAAGUAAAUUCUCAUUUUUCAGGAGGAUCCUGAACAUAAAGUAAAAUCUCAUUUUUAAGGAGGGUCCUGAACAAAAAGUAAAUUCCCAUUUUUCAGGAUGGUCUUGAAUAGAAAGUAAAAUCCUAUUUUUCAGGAGGGUCCUGAACAUAAAGUAAAAUCUCAUUUUUCAUGAGGGUCCUGAACAUAAAGAAAAUCCCAUUUUUCAAGAGGAGGGUCCUGAACAUAAAGUAAAAUCUCAUUUUUCAUGAGGGUCCUGAACAUAAAGAAAAUCCCAUUUUUCAAGAGGAGGGUCCUGAACAUAAAGUAAAAUCUCAUUUUUCAGGAGGGUCCUGAAUGGAAAGCAAAAUCUCAUUUUUUAGGAGGGUCCUAAACAGAAAGUAAAAUCUCAUUUUUCAGGAGGGUCCUGAAUAGAAAGUAAAAUCCCAUUUUUUAGGAGGGUCCUGAACAGAAAGUAAAAUCCCAUUUUUCAGGAGGGUCCUGAACAUAAAGUAAAAUUCCAUUUUUCAGAGCGAUCCCGAACGGAAAGCAAAAUCUCAUUUUUCUGGAGGGUCCUGAAUGGAAAGCAAAAUCUCAUUUUUUAGGAGGAUCCUGAACGGAAAGCAAAAUCUCAUUUUUCAGGAGGGUCCUGAACAGAAAGCAAAAUCCCAUUUUUCAGGAGGUCCUGGACAAAAAGCAAAAUUCCAUUUUUCAGGAGGGUCCUGAACAGAAAGUAAAAUCCCAAAAUAUGCUUUCCCAAAGGUUGUUGAACUUAUUGAACAAAAAACUUUUCCCUUGUUUCAUCAAAGAAAAUUUGUCAGUUAAAACUUAAUGGUGGCUUGCAACACUUGGCUUCUCAGCGUCUACUCCAGCACUCGUUCCUUUUCUCUUUGUUCCAAAUCGCUGACACAUGCCCCAGUCUUGCCGCCUCAUUGACCCAGACUAGAUCAGGGAAAAUGAGUUUGACUCAAACACCGGGUUUCUAUUUUACCUUGCCUUCGUGACGUACUUUUUGACAUCUGAUACUUCCAUGAAUCCAGCAACCUGUUGGUUGAUAGAAUACCUUUGUCUUGCUUUGAAUUAUGAUCAUGUUUCUCUUAUGUGCUGGUCUUGGAUUUUCCUCAUACAAUUGGGAAGACUGGUAGCAAGUUUUGAAAUCCUUUCUCGCUUGUUUUAAAAUAGAAUAGACUCAAAAAUGUAUAGAAACAAUGGCGACUUUUCUAUUGAUAAAAUACAUAAAACGACAAAAAUAUGAAUGUACAAAUGAAAGAAAAGGGCAAUGUCCCUCUUUUUAACAAAGAAGAUAACUUACCUGAAGAUGGCAACCAACUCAAAUGACUGUGACAUGCAUUUUGGAUUAAAUGCCUUAUCUUCCUAUCCAAACUUCCCAUUUUUUUUGAGUUCGUGCCUUUGUCGCUGCCACUUUUUCGAACCCAUUGGACUCAUAUAUCUCAUUCAAUUGACGGCAUCUUAAAAGAUUUCUGCCAACAAGCCUCUUUCCUUUUAUUUUCUCUCAAACUUUCCAUCGCAUUACGGUGCCCCUAAGGGUUUUCACCCAUAAGACUCUCUCAUUUUUUAUUUCUCUCAACUCAUCAUCACCUUAUGGUGCCUGUGAGAGUUUGCACCAAUAAGACUCUCUCAUUUUCUUUUCUUUCUUGAUUUCUUAUGCUGAGGAAGACAAGUAGUACCCCCAAAAUGCGUCAUCAUAUUCAUUGUAUGCUUAGCCUUAACAUUAUCAAAGAUUGAUCUGAAGAUCUUUUUUUGGUUGUAACUUGGAUUUUGGAUAAGGUUAGAAAGACAAGGAUGAUAGGAGGCUCAAACGACACUUGAAGUGGGGGGUGGGACUUACAAAUUUUGAAAUCGACUCAAACAACACAUUAACUCAUGCCUCAAUUUUUGUCGACUGGGUGACUUUAAAAUUUUAUUUGGUUGGACCGAGCCCGAAUAGGGCAGCCUACGUAUCUCACUCUCAAGCGAGUAGAAUCAGGUCGCACGUAGUUCCAUCAGCUUGUUCUUUGUUUUGAUUUGAUUUUUUUUCUUCUCUUUUUUUUUCUUUUAUUUUUGAACUCUUUAUUUUAUUCUUAUUUUCCUAACAUUUAUCUUUGACACUAUUUUGAUUCCAAAAAAGGGAUAUGAAAGAAAAAUAAAACUAAGCUCAAACGGGUAAACAAAGGAUGACACAAUGUUUGGAUAGAAGAAUAAAAUGCCUUCAUCAUAUCAAUCUUCAAAAAUGCAAGUACUAAACAUGCAAUAAAAUCAACAAAGGAUAAAAUAUCAUACAUAAUAUCUUUUGACCGCAUCAGCAUUAAUAGCCAUUUCUACCAUUUUGCCUUCAAUAUCUGUCAAAUAUAAGGCUUCAUUGGGCAACACUUUCUUCACAAUGAAGGGACCUUGCCAGUUUGGGGAGAACUUAUAUUUCGCUGCCUGGGUCAUACCUUUUUGUUAUAUGCUCUAGCCAUUCUCUUCUGAUACAAUUGGCCAUGACAUACCGACGCUAGCCUUUUUUCCUCAAUCAAACUCAAUUGUUCCAGUCGAGUUUUGACCCAUUCAUCAUCAUCAAUCUCUGCUUUCACAAUGACUCGAAGAGAGGAAAUUUCAACUUCUGUAGGGACGACUGCUUUUGUCCCAUACAUCAAUAAAUAUGAAGUUGCCCCUGUUGAAGUGCGAACAGUAGUGCAAUAACCUAGCAAUGCAAAUAGCAACUUCUCAUACCAUUGUCUAUACCCUUGUACCAUUUUCCGUAAUAUUUUCUUGAUAUUUUUAUUAGCAGCUUCCACAGCGCUAUUAGCCUUUGGAUGAUAUGGAGUGAAAUUUUGAUGUGCGAUCUUAAAUAGUUGACACACUUCUUGCAUCAAAUGACUAUUGAGAUUGGCAGCAUUGUCUAUAAUGACCAUCUUAGAAAUUCCAAACCUACAAAUGAUGUGGCAUGAACAAAAUCUACUACCAUUUUCUUUGUCACUGACUUGAAAGUUACUGCUUCUACCCACUUUGUGAAGUAAUCAAUGGCCACCGGAAUGAAUCUAUGCCCAUUUGAUGCUUUUGGCUCAAUCGGUCCCAUCACGUCCAUUCCCCAAGCUACAAAAGGCCAUGGAGCAGCCAUUCAUGCAACUCAGCAGGAGGAGAAUGUAUCAGAUCACUGUGUACCUGACAUUGAUGACACUUUCAAGCAAAUCGAAUAGAAUCUCUCUCCAUAGUAAGCCAGUAAUAACCCGCUCUAAGAAUCUUUUUUGAUAAGACAUAACCGUUCAUAUGAGGCCCGCAUACUCCAGAGUGAACUUCAACCAUGAUUGCCGAAGCUUCUUUUGCAUCUACACACCUCAAAAGUCCCAGAUCUGGGGUUCUCUUGUAUAAGACUUCCCCGCUCAAGAAAAAUCCACUAGCCAAACGCCUAAUAGUCCUCUUUUGAUCAUUGGUGGCAUGUGCUGGGUAUUUUUUUGACUGGAUGUACUGCUUGAUAUCAAAGAACCAAGGUCCACCAUCGAGCUCAUCUUCAACUGCAUUACAAUAAGCGUGUUGAUCACGGCUCUGUAUAUGCACUGGAUCGAUAUAGGCCUUAUCAGGAUGUUAAAGUAUCGAAGACAAAGUGGUCAACGCAUAAAAAAUCUCAUUGUGAAUUCUUGGAAUAUGCCUAAACUUUACAGACACAAACUGUUGACAUAGAUCUUUGAAGCAUUGUCGAUACAGUAUUAGCUUUAAAUCUCGCGUCUCCCAAUCACCUUGAAUCUGAUGGACGAUUAAAUCUGAAUCCCCCAACACUAAUAGUUCCUGGACUCCCAUAUCAACAGCUAGCCUCAAACCCAGAAUGCAAGCUUCAUAUUUUGCCAUGUUAUUGGUACAGUAAAAUUAAAGUUGCGCUGUUACCGAAAAAUAUUGCCCCGCCUCAUAUAUAAGAACUGCACCUACUUUGACUCCUUUCAUGUUGAUAGCUCCAUCAAAGAACAACUUCCAACUUGGAUCAAUAUCUAUAAUGACUUCAUCGACACACAAUACCUCUUCAUCAGGAAAAUAUGUUUUUAAUGGCUCAUACUCUUAAUCAAUGGGAUUCUCAGCAAGAUGAUCUGCUAAGGCUUGGUCUUUCAUGGCGGUUCGAGUCACAUAUACAAUGUCAAACUCGGUAAGCAAUAUUUGCUACUUUGCCAAUCGACCCAUUGGCAUAGGCUUCUAAAAUACAUACUUCAGCGAAUCCAUGAGAGAGAUGAUAUAAGUAGUAUAGGAUGAAAGAUAAUGCUUCAACUUCUGUGCUACCCAAGUCAGGGCACAACACGUCCUUUAAAGAAGUGUGUACUUGGCUUCAUAUGUUGUGAAUUUCUUGCUAAGGUAAUAAAUAGCUUGCUCCAUUUUAUCCUGUGACAUUAUGCUGACCCAAGACACAACCGAAGAAAUUAUCCAUGACUGAUAAAUAUAAGAUCAAAGGCCUACCAGGCUCCGGUGGUACCAGCACGGGCGGAUUUGAUAGAUGUCUUUUGAUUUAAUCAAAUGCUUCCUGGCAUUCUUCAGUCCGAUCAACCGCAACACUCUUCUUCAGCAACUUGAAAAGGGGCUCGCAAAUGGUUGUGAGUUAAGCAAUGAACCUACUGAUAUAGUUCAAUCUACCCAGCAAACUCAUCACCUCUGUCCUAUUCUUGGGCGGAGCCAAAUCCUAGAUGGCUUUGAUAUUUGAGGGAUCCAAUUUAAUUCCCCGAUGGAUGACUACAAACCCCAAUAGCUUUCCAGACAAAACUCUAAAUACACAUUUUGCCGGAUUGAGCUUGAGAUUAUACCUGCGAAGCCUCCCAAAGAACUUUCUUAAAUCUUUAACAUGGUUAUCCUGACUCUUUGAUUUAAUAAUUACAUCAUCUACAUAGACUUCAAUCUCCUUAUGCAUCAUAUCAUGAAACAUGGUGGUCAUGGCUCUCAUGUAUGUUUCUCCAAUAUUCUUCAAACCGAAUAACAUCACUCGAUAACAAUAAGUCCCCCAUGGUGUGAUAAAAGAUGUCUUUUCCGUGUCUUCCUCAUCCAUAAUGAUCUGGUGGUAUCCGACAUAGCAAUCCACAAAAGAGGCUACCUCAUGUUUAGCACAAUUGUCCAACAAAAUAUGGAUGUUGGGCAGUGAAAAAUCAUCCUUUGGACUUGCUCUGUUCAAAUAACGGUAAUCAACACAUACUCGAAUUUUACCAUCUUUCUUUGGGACAAGAACAAUAUUGGAUAACCAUGUGGGAUAACAGGCCACUCGAAUGACUUUGUCUUUAAGUUGUUUCAUGAUUUCCUCUUUGAUUUUGAUACUUAGAUCAGUCUUAAACUUCCUCAACUUUUGUUUGAUGGGGGGAAUGCGGGAUCAGUUGGCAAUUACGGGCCACUAAUUCAAUGCUUAAACCAGGCAUAUCAUCAUAAGACCAUGCAAAAACAUCCAUAAUCAAUUAAUGCUUGAAUCAUUCCAUCUUUUAGCUGUGGCAAAGCAUGUACACCGAUUUUAGUUUCCCUAACAUCUUCUUGAUUCCCUAGAUUAAUUGGCUCAGUUUCAUUCAAAUUAGGAUUACGCUUGUCUUCAAACUGUUCCAACUCUUUGCUUAUUUCUUCUGGUGCCUCUUCUUCACAUAUUCCCCCUCUUGCUUUAUUAUAUCUUGAUUAGUUUGGAUUUUAAGAUCAAGCUGAAAAUUCCGCAUGUCAUGUCAUGUCAUUAGAAUCAGUAUAAAGAGAACUGUAUAAAGAAAAAGACAAAAAUAAAAUAUAUUCGACACAAAAUAAGGGGACAUUGUAUUUCAUUAAAAGGGAAAGAUAUGAGGGUUUAAACACAAAUGACAACAAAAUAUAAACAAGCUAAAUUCUGAAUUAUAACCCUGGAAUAAUUCAGAUAAAUAGAAAAAAAACAAAAUAAACUACCAAAACUCCCUCCUGACGGGGAGAGGAGUGACUUCCCAAUCGUUGAGCUGGACCUCAGGACCUAUGAACUGCACGUCUACCUUACUGGUACCCUCUCUUGCUUCAACCAUGUCAAUAUCAAUCAGCAAGUUCUGGAAGUCAUCAACCAAUUCAGCUUUAAAUUCUACAGGUUUCGUGACAUUGCUCUUGAUAAAUAAUUCACUGAGUAGCGGCAUUGGGCAAGGGAGUGACCAUAUUUCCUUUUUCCUUCCUUUGGCCUUCUUCAAAUCUUCAACCGUAGGCUCAAAUCCCAGACCAAAAAUGCCCAUGUUCUCUCUCGGACAUAUGGGACGGAUGAUACCAAAAAUGCCCAUGUUCUCACCUUCAUGAUAGAAACGGAAGACAAUUGUGGUCCCGAAAUAACUUGUCCUUCAAGGAUACGAUCUACUGGCACUGUAUUAAAAGUUUGAUAGACAAAUGUCUCCUCUACAUUGUUUGCUUCAAUUAGAGACAAGGGACUGUGAAUAACCACUUCUUGCCUAUCAUGCUCAAACUUGAUCAUCUGGUGCAGUGUAGAUGCAACCGCCUUGGCCUUGUGGAUCUAUGGUCUUACCAACAAUAGAUUGUAAGAAGAGUCGAUGUUCAAUACUUGAAAAUCUAGGGUGAAUUCAACAGGCCCUAUAAUCAAAAUUAGUUCUAUUUCGCCAAUGGAGUUGGACUUUGCUCCAUCGAAAGCCUUGACACAUACAUUGUUGGGCCUGAUACUCUCAACACCAAUGAUCAAUUUUUACAAGUGGAAAUAGGGCAAAUAUUUGCGCCAGAACCUACGUUAAUCAAGACAUGAGUGACAUAGAAAUCUUCAUACUUCACGAUUAUAUAAAGCCCCCGAUUAUGCCCCGUACCUUCAAUUGGAAAUUCAUCAUCAGAGAAGCUAAUCAGAUUGACCUCAAAGAUUUUUCUAACCAUUUUGUCAAGCUGAUUUACUGUAAACUCACUAGGAACAUAUGAUUCAUUUAAUACCUUCAAUAUAAUAUCACGAUGUUCCUUGGAAUGCAAUAACAAUGAUAAGAGGGAAAUUUGAGCAGGGGUCUUCUUCAACUGAUCUAUUAUUGAAUACUCCGGCAAUUUUAUCUUUUUCAAAAAUUCUUCGGCUUCUUCUUCAGUGACAGGCUUUUUGAUAGAUGAAGGUCCACUCCCAAUUGGAUUGGACUUCCUUAAACUUUCAGGCACAAAACAUCUUCCUGACCGAGUCAAACCCCCUACCUCAUCUAUAUUUUCCACUACUUCCUUCCUCUACUAGGUCAUCACAGUUCGCUUAUAGUUCCAGGGAACCUUUUUCAUAUCAACUAUCGGAGGUUGGAUCACUGGUUUAAUGAUAAUAGGCGCUGCAAAUGCACCUUUCACCGUCAAGAUAGGCUUACCCGGAGCUCCUACCACCGUCAACUUUGGUUUGUCCUGACUUAAAUCGAUAUCUUUUCUGGCACCCUGUACUGUGAUGACGGUUUUUUUUGCUCUCUUGGACUUUAUCUUCUCCCGUUUCUUCCUGAAUCAAUGAUAUUACUUUCAGUGAGUUCGCCACAUUCACUGAUUUAUCCUCAUUGGUCUGUAUUCUGACAAUAGACUUAUAACACCUUGACAACUCUUUCCAAUCAUAUAUCAAUUCUAACAUAUUAGUUUCAUCAUGGGUUGACAACGGAUUCUGGUUAAUGUUUGGAACCUUCGCGCCCUGGACCAAAAUCUGAUUUACAUCGAUUAAUUCUUAGACAACUCUCUUUAAAUACCAGUAUUUUUCGAUAUCAUGGCCUGGCAUGUCAUAACAAUAUACACAUCUUAAAGAAUAAUCAAGAUUCCUGUGAGGUGGAUUUGAAAGCCUUUCUUAAAUCGGGCUUAAGACCUUCAUCUUUCUCAAUCUAUCAAACAAGUUAGCAUAUAUCUCCCCGAGAGCCGUGAACUAAUUUUUUACCGCCUUCUCUUUCUUGUACUCAGGCCUGGGUUGGAAAAUGGGUCUAGAGGGGUUUUGGUAAUUUGGUAGAGCUGAUAGACGAUUUUCUGGAGCUUGUACACGCCAUUGCGAGUAAGAAGGGAUUUGGGCAUAUGGUUGUGCACUAUAUACUAGGUGUGGAGGGAGUGGAAUGGCAUAUGGUGGGUUUUGCAGAGGGUAGUAAUGGUGGGGAAAAAUAUAUGGAGCUUGGACAUAGGCUUGGGCUUGGGAUUGGGGAUAGGGGCGAGGCGAUCUUUUGGGAUAGAAAUGGGGUCCAGCAACAACGGUCGCCAUGUCCUCUUUCUUCUUUUUACCUUUGAACGCGCCAGAUCCACCUUGAAUCACUUAUGUGAUGGCUUUCAACACGGCAAAACUCACUAUUCGGCCAGUCUUGAUUCCGUCUUCUAUUAUCUCUCCCAUUUUGAAGACUUCAAUAAAAGACUUUCCCAUUAUCGGAAGUAAUGUUGAAAAUAAGAGAAAAAUUAUAAACAAAGAGCAUGUAAGCACUCGACAAUGAUAAAAUAAACAACAAACGAUAACACAAACAAUGUUUACACCCAUAAUCUCAAACUAAGCCAAUACAACUCCAAAAAAAUAAGCUCGAAUUCUGAAAAGUCUCCAGCAGAGUCGUCAGAGCUGUCACACCCCCUUUUUAACUCCCGAAAAAUUAUAUUGUAUAGGUCGAAGGUAUUUUUAUUAUUAAAGUGACAAAAGAUGAAAAAUUUAUUUCAAAAAAGGAUUAUUUAUAUUCAAAACUCAGAGUCGCCACUUGGCAUAAUCGGGUGUGCCAAGUCACCUUUGGAAAAUCUUUUUCAAAACGACUUGACUCUUUAAACUGGUCUGCGAACAGAGAUUCCGCCUAAGGAAUUCUGUUGACCGAGAGGAAGGUGUUAGGCACCCCUCGAUCCCGUGGUUCGACCACGGUCGCUUGGUGGAGCAUAUCGGCUAAUUCGACACAAAGUGUAUAAACCACAUAAAACACACAACACUUAAACAAACAAACACCAACAAAAGAAAUCCUAAAAAUAUAAUGUCCUGUCAAAUUAUACAGUCCAAAAAUAAAAAUAUACGGAAAUGUAAAACCUAUUCUAUUCUAAACUAAUCCUACACUAUGCACUACCCGACGCCUCGGCCUUCAUCACGAAUGUCCUUCAAGUACAAGGUACUUUGGAGAAUUCCCCGGAUAAAUCAAUACAAAUUCCUCGAGCCAUUCCCCGGCCAAAUGAAUACAUUUUUAGUGCGAGAAAAUCAAACUAUUCAACAAAAUUUCAAACAUUCCACGGAAUUUCCAAUAUUCAACCAAAGCCACAAACUCUAAACUUUGCCUACCAAACUAUGUUUGCCUACACCAAUCGACGUAUCAUGAUACUAUCAAGUUCAAUUAACGUAAUCGAUGUAUCAUGAUACUAUCAAGUUCAAUUAACGUUCGUUUCAAGUCAAACAACCAAUGAAUCAAAUUAACCAAAAUUCACCAAUUAUAUCAAGUUUUCAAUUCUCACCCCCAAAUUAAUUCUCAAAAUUCCUACAAUUCACGAUCACUACUUUAACAAUCCACAAUCAUUAUCAACAAAACCAAACAAAUAAAUCAAUAGCACCCAAGUAUUUAUAUCAUGCUUCACACUAACCAAUCACGCAUAUAUAAUGAAAUCAAAAUGAGAACGAGAUAGAAUUGAACCUCAAAUCGAGCUUUAUUGUGCAAAUUAUACAAUUGGGUGAUACAACCGGACCCGAAAACCUCGAUCAACUAACCCGCCUCAAUUCGAACCUCGAACCAACUAGAUGCAAAAAUCUCUUGAAAUCCAAUUCGAAAGGAGACCCUCGAUAACCCAAAAGAAAAACAGAAUAGUAGUGUCAUUUGGUGUGAGUUCAGAUUGGAUUUUCUGCUGGUUGUGUCAUAUCUCGGUGGUUUAUGACGGAACAACGACUAAACUCUCCGGAGAAACACCCCUCUCUUCGAUUCUUCUCUCUCUCUCUCUAUCCGAUCAUUUUCAGCUUACCACUGCCCUUCUCUUUCUCUCUCCGAUCUCAUGAUCUCUUCAUCGCUUGAAUCUCUUAUUCUCUAUCUGCCCCAUCUCUUAAUUUCUCCCUCUCACUGGUGUCACUGCGUGCGUGAAUGAUGGUGAAAAAAAAGAAACCCAGAUCAUUUUUUUUCUAAAUUUGUCUCUCUUCUCUAUUUCUAUGUGUGGCGAUUGAGUGUGUGGGUAUUUGUGCGUGUUGCGAGAGUGAAUAUAAUAAGAAAAAAGAAUGAAGUCUCUAUAGGUGUCUUGUGUGGUUCCUUCUGUUUCUUGUGUAGAAGAAAGAAAAAUAUGGAGUCCUUUUUUUUUGUGUUCCCAAUCAUC
rnacentral:lncRNA from 1 species